GUUUACAGCCAUACCACCCUGAACACGCCAGAUCUCAUCUGAUCUCAGAAGCUAAGCAGGGUUAUGCCUGGUGUGUUCUUGGAUAGCAGAUAGUCAUGGAAUAAUUUAGGGGAAUAAUAC
ensembl:rRNA 5S_rRNA 5S ribosomal RNA